AUAGGAUAUCUUCGCCAAACGUGGAUUGUUGUUAAUAGACUUGUUGUUUAUAAAGUUUUGCUUUCUCUGUGAUUCUUUUUAGGGGUAAAGGCUGCAAUUAUGAUAAAGUUUAUUUGUAUGCAUAAUUGUGUAGAGACCGGAUACAUUAGGUAGAUUGUGAGUGAAGUGGCCAAUGAUUCAUGCCAUUGGAAGAUUCUUGAACAUCUCUCCUUCCGGACAGCAACCAAAUUUGAACUGUAUCUCUGACAGCACCGGUUGGUAUGAACAGUCUGUACUAAAGUUAGGGCUUGUUUAGUUCAUCCUAAAAAUAAAAAAAAAUUCAAGAUUCUUUGUCACAUGACUAUGCAUGAAAAGUUAUGGCUGAAAGUUACUAUUCGCUGAUUUAUUGUGACAGAAAACAC
rnacentral:lncRNA from 1 species